UAUGACAGCUCCAGCUCUUGCGGAGUUGCGCAGAACUAUUAGUUGUGUUUACACUGGGAAUAUUGACGGACAAUUCUUUGCGUAAAGUUUGCAUAAUUAGUUAAGAAGACUCAAGAUGUCCGGAAUGUUAUGGGAAGCAGACAAGCAGCCGAAUAUCUGCGAAGCAGCUUCAGGAUUCACCUUCUCUACCAUCAAUCUACUGAUCGCUAUCCCUAUGUUCCUCUUGGAUCUUGUGAUCACCACUCUCUCAUCCAUCCUCUCCCUUACCUACCUCGCCCUCAACCCCCUGCUGGAGUACAGUCUGGAGUUCCUGGGAGUUGUGUGUGAACUUCUGGGAAUAGAUUCAGUUCCCUCGAACUUGAGUAUAGUUAUGAGCCUGCUAGCCUGUGGUCUGGUGUAUAGAGUAUACCAGGAGGUUGGACCUAGUUCCGGGGGCUCCUGGCAGCAGGUUCUCAGUAAACUUAUCUACUAUUCAACCUGUGUUCUCUGGUUUAUGACGGUACUCCAGGUCACAAGGUUUGAAGCUGCAUCUUCUCCAGAGUUGAUUUAUAUUUAUUUCGCUGUAUCUGCUGCCUCUGAGAUGUUGAAUCUCUUCUUCAAGGAGUUAAAUAUGUUCAGGCAUGAUGUGAACAAGAGUGAGGUUCAGGUCUCGGGAGAGAAGUACGCCGACAUGAUCAAAUAUGAAAGCUUUUGGUUUCUACUUCUCUCUGCGUUUGGAGUUCCAACCUUAACCCAGGAGGAUUCUGCUUCUCAAUAUAUUUUCCUAGUUCCGGUUUUAGCUUUUGUUCUUAUGCUCCGGGAUGUUCAGAAAGCUGCUCCCCAACAACCUACUAUGAAUGGAGCUACUGUUAAAGAAACAGUUCUUGAUAAUGUGUCCGAACCAGUUGAACCGAUUGAAGUAGAGAAACCAGUAGAAGAACCUAAAGCUGAAACUAUUAUUGAAGAACCAGCAGCCAAAGAGUUUGAUACAGCAGCAGAGACUGAAACUGAACCUGAACCUGUCAUUCCAGUUGUUCCUAGUGCAGAACCCGAGGAACCUGCUGCUGAUGCCCCAGAUUCUAUGAAUGUAACUAAAGUUGAAGCAAAGGAUGAUCUUGUUGUUGCUAAACUGGUUUGUAUGCUGACCAGCCUGGUCGGAAACCUGGUGAACAAGGUUAAAGUUGUGUUCAACCCUGUCAUGAACCUGACAGUGAAGUGUGUUGGUAUUGUGAGUAAUCUACCCUGGUGUGCAUGCAUAACCACGACCAUUAACAAUGGCUCAUUCAUCCUCGCUGCCCUCGCCUGGUUCCAGAUGACAGGGAACCAGCUCUCUCUUCUCCUCCCUCUCCUCUCCCUCAUACUACCCGCCCUUAUAGAGCAGGUUGGAACCAGGAUACCAUCUCCUUACAGAGGAUUGGCAAAAGAAGUUGUUUUCGCUGGAACAGUUCUAACAGAGUACGCUCUCGUCACAGGGAGUUUAAUCCUCUAAUGUGGAAAAAUCUGUACAGGGAGUUUAAUCCUCUAACAUGGAAUAUUCUGUACAGGGAGUUUAAUCCUCUAACAUGGAAUAUUCUGUACAGGGAGCUUAAUCCUCUAACAUGGAAUAUUCUGUACAGGGAGUAUAAUCCUCUAAAUAUGGAAUAUUCUGUACAAAGAGUUUAAUCCUCUAACAUGGAAUAGUCUGUACAAGGAGUUUAAUCCUCUGAACAUGGAAUAUUCUGUACAGGGAGUAUAAUCCUCUAAAUAUGGAAUAUUCUGUACAUGGAGUUUAAUCCUCUAAAUAUGGAAUAUUCUGUACAGGGAGUUUAAUCCUCUAAAUAUGGAAUAUUCUGUACAGGGAGUUUAAUCUUCUAACAUGGAAUAUUCUGUACAGGGAGUUUAAUCCUCAAAAUAUGGAAUAUUCUGUACAAGGAGUUUAAUCCUCUGAACCUGAAAAACUUUAAACAAAGAGUUUAAUUUUGUUUUAAAAACUCUAAUGACAAGGAGAAAUUUUUGAGUCUGCUACAAUUCUCUAUUGCUCUAAAGUCUUAGACUGCAUCUGUAUCAAAGUACAAAAAUUAUCUAAUCAAAAUAUAUUUACCCAUUGAUUGACAUUAUGUAUAGUUGAAAAUAUCUUAGAAAAUCGCAAACUAACUUAAGUAAUGAAAUCUGAAAAUAAAAUUUAAUUUCAGAUCAAAUUCUCCGAAAGUAUUGCGAUAUUUUUCUAUGAUGUUCCAAUUAUGUAACGGCUUUAAAUGCCUUUUAUGCUAUCAGUACCUUCACCUAAUAAGAUGAAUCUACUUCUGUAGAAAACCAAAUACGUCUUUCUCUAAACAAUUAUCAGUUAUGACAAAGAAUAUUAAUUAUUUUCAAGAUUUAUUCAAAAUUUUUUUAGUUCAUAUAAUUUGUUCACAAACAUUGAUAAUGAAUAUUCUUCAUGAUUUUUUAAUUCUCCUGCCAAAAAGUAACAAAUAUUUUUAGAUCUCUUAUCUUCUAAUAAUCUCUGAAAGUACAAAGUAAAGUCUAACCAUUAAACCAAAGUAUGUUUUGAAACACUACAAAGUAUGCAACAAAAAGUACAAAUUUUUCAUCGUAUAUAAAAAAUGUAUUAAAAAUGCUCAGUUUCUUGUUUAUAGUUUUCAAAAAAGUUAAAUGUAGUCUAGUAUUUUGAGAUCUAUCACAUUUUUUUUUAAAUCAACUCAUAUCAAGAUGAGUUUAUUUCAAUCUUUGACUUUUUUUAUUAAUGAAAGUCCGCAGGAUUUAUGUUAUUCAUGAUAGUUGUUACUCCAUAAGUGUGUUUGUCAAGAUGAUUGAAAUUAGGUCAGAAUAGUUCAGUUUAGGUCAGAAUAGUUCAGGUUAGGUCAGAAUAGUUCAGGUUAGGUCAGAAUAGUUCAGGCUAGGUCACGAAAAAAAAGUUCAGGUUAGACCAUGUUAGAAGAGAAACGUGCUGACUGCUGAUCAAAUGGAAAAGAUAGGGAUAGAUAUUGUUGGUUUGCUAAAAAUUAAGCAUAGCAUAAAUUUCUGCGAUACAUCUUAAUUCUCAUUAAAUAUUGUAUGAAUUUUUUUAAAUAAACGAUUUUUAAAAAGCA
rnacentral:misc_RNA from 1 species